UUCUGGUUGAUCCUGCCAGUAGUUAUAUGAUUGUCUCAAAGAUUAAGCCAUGCAUGUCUAAGUACACAAAAGUGAAACCGCAAAAGGAUCAUUAUAUCUGUUAUUGUUCCUUAGAUCGUUAACAAUUAAUUGGAUAACUGUGGUAAUUCUAGAGCUAACACAUGCAAUUAAAAGUAUCUAGGACUACCAUGGUAGCAACGGGUAACGGGGAAUCAGGGUUCGAUUCCGGAGAGGGAGCCUGAGAAACGGCUACCACAUCUAAGGAAGGCAGCAGGCGCGUAAAUUACCCACUCCCAGCUCGGGGAGGUAGUGACGAAAAAUAACAAUACAGGACUCAUAUCCGAGGACCUGUAAUUGGAAUGAGUACACUUUAAAUCCUUUAACAAGGACCAAUUGGAGGGCAAGUCUGGUGCCAGCAGCCGCGGUAAUUCCAGCUCCAAUAGCGUAUAUUAAAGUUGUUGCGGUUAAAACGUCCGUAGUUGAGCUUGUGCUUCAUACGGGUAGUACAACUUACAAUUGUGGUUAGUACUAUACCUUUAUGUAUUUAAGCGUAUUACCGGUGGAGUUCUUAUAUGUGAUUAAAUACUUGAAUUUUUUCAUAUGUUCCUCCUAUUUAAAAACCUGCAUUAGUGCUCUUAAACGAGUGUUAUUGUGGGCCUGUACUAUUACUUUGAGCAAAUUACAGUGAAAUAAGACCUCUGUUCUGCUUUCAUUAGUUUUCAGAUCAAGAGGUAAUGAUUAAUAGAAGCAGUUUGGGGGCAUUAGUAUUACGACGCGAG
rnacentral:rRNA from 1 species